rnacentral:rRNA from 1 species
GGGUCAGUAGGUUGGUCGUGCCACCGGUACGUACUGGUCUCACUGAUUCCUCCUUCCUGAAGAACCGUAAUGCCAUUAUUUUGGUGUUGCGGGGAAACAGGACUGUUACUUUGAAAAAAUUAGAGUGUUUAACGCAAGCUAACGCUUGAAUACAGUAGCAUGGAAUAAUGAAAUAGGACGAUCGAUCCUAUUUUGUUGGUUUCUAGGAUUGACGUA